rnacentral:rRNA from 1 species
UGCCAGCCGCCGCGGUAAUACGAAGGGCCCGAGCGUUAAUCGGAAUCACUGGGCUUAAAGCGUACGCAGGCGGGCGCGCAGGCAUCUCGUGAAAUCCCCCGGCUCAACCGGGGAACUGCGGGGUGAACCUCGUGCCUUGAGACUGGUAGGGGCUGCCGGAACGCUAGGUGGAGUGGUGAAAUGCGUUGAUAUCUAGCGGAACGCCGAAGGAGAAAUCAGGCAGCUGGGCCAGUUCUGACGCUCAUGUACGAAAGCGUGGGGAGCGAACGGGAUUAGAUA